GAUGACAUGGCCGAGUGGUUAAGGUGAUGGACUGCUAAUCCAUUGUGCUCUGCAUGCAUAGGUUCAUAUCCUACUCUCAUCA